UUCCAUUUAUGAAAAAAAAAAAAUGAAUAAAAUUAUCUGGGAUUGGUGGCCUGUAGUCCUAGCUACUUGGGAGGCUGAGAUGAAGGACUCUCUUGACUGAUCCUAGGAGAUAGAGGCCGUAAUAAGGUACGAUUGCACUGCUGCACUUCAGCCUGGGCAACAGAGCUAGAUAUAGUCUAUAAAAAAAGUGAAUAAGGAAAACCAAUAAUAUAGAGGUGCUCACUUCAAAACACUCUCCCCACAAACACACACAAAGCCUAGGUUGUGUGUACAGGUAAGAACAAAAGAUCUACCAUUUAACUGACAUACGAGAUUUCUUUCUAGAAACCAUAGGACCCACUGGAAGUGGUGACCUCACAGGAAGAAGCGUCUUGUGAGAGGCAGCUGUAAGGUCUGGUUCCCUUAUGUGCUGCAGUGAGUGCCUUGCCAGCCCUGACUGCAGGCUCCCUCCAUGCCCAACUCUGCCAUGGACACCACAGUCCUCUGCUGUGCGCUCAUCUGUCUUCUGGGCACAGGUCUCUCAAAUGCCGGCGUCACACAGAACCCAAGACACAUGGUCAGGAGGAAGGGACAGGAGGCAAGACUGAGAUGCAGCCCAGUAGAAGGACACAAUCAUGUUUAUUGGUAUCAGCAACUCCUGGGGGAAGGUCUGAAAUUCAUGAUCUAUCUCCAGAGGGAAAGCAUCAUAGAUGAGUCAGGAAUGCCAAAGGAACGGUUUUCUGCUAAAUUCCCCAAAGAGGGGCCCAGCAUCCUAAGGAUCCAGCAGGCAGAGCGUGGAGACUCAGCAGCUUAUUUCUGUGCCAGCUCAAUAACCACAUCGACACAGAGCCACGUCCUUUCAGUGCACAAACAUCCCCCAGACCUGCCUUGGGGACAGUGGUGGGCUGGGAAAGGAGACGCAUUACCUGUACAGAGAACAGGUCAGCUCUAAGGCAUUCUGCAAGUUGAGGAUGGAAAUAGGGGAGGCUUGUAGGAAUAUCAUGAAACAUCCCAGGAUAUGUGCCCAGAAACUAAGACUCUGUCAUCCAAAGAACAAAGAUUUUUAAGAGCUAGACAUAAUUUGUCGGUUUCAACAUUGACUUAAUUUGUCAGUUUCAAGACACUUAACAGAG